AGGGGCAUCAUGCUUAUAGCAAUAUAAGUGAUGGCGACCGGCGCACGGGUGAGUAACACGUAUCCAACCUGCCGAUAACUCGGGGAUAGCCUUUCGAAAGAAAGAUUAAUACCCGAUGGUAUAAUAAAACCGCAUGGUUUAAUUAUUAAAGAAUUUCGGUUAUCGAUGGGGAUGCGUUCCAUUAGGCAGUUGGUGAGGUAACGGCUCACCAAACCUUCGAUGGAUAGGGGUUCUGAGAGGAAGGUCCCCCACAUUGGAACUGAGACACGGUCCAAACUCCUACGGGAGGCAGCAGUGAGGAAUAUUGGUCAAUGGACGGGAGUCUGAACCAGCCAAGUAGCGUGAAGGAUGACUGCCCUAUGGGUUGUAAACUUCUUUUAUAUGGGAAUAAAGUGAUCCACGUGUGGAUUUUUGUAUGUACCAUAUGAAUAAGGAUCGGCUAACUCCGUGCCAGCAGCCGCGGUAAUACGGAGGAUCCGAGCGUUAUCUGGAUUUAUUGGGUUUAAAGGGAGCGUAGGUGGACAGUUAAGUCAGUUGUGAAAGUUUGCGGCUCAACCGUAAAAUUGCAGUUGAUACUGGCUGUCUUGAGUACAGUAGAGGUGGGCGGAAUUCGUGGUGUAGCGGUGAAAUGCUUAGAUAUCACGAAGAACUCCGAUUGCGAAGGCAGCUCACUGGACUGCAACUGACACUGAUGCUCGAAAGUGUGGGUAUCAA
rnacentral:rRNA from 1 species